GAUGAACGCUGGCGGCGUGCCUAAUACAUGCAAGUCGAGCGAACAGACGAGGAGCUUGCUCCUCUGACGUUAGCGGCGGACGGGUGAGUAACACGUGGAUAACCUACCUAUAAGACUGGGAUAACUUCGGGAAACCGGAGCUAAUACCGGAUAAUAUAUUGAACCGCAUGGUUCAAUAGUGAAAGACGGUUUUGCUGUCACUUAUAGAUGGAUCCGCGCCGCAUUAGCUAGUUGGUAAGGUCGGCUUACCAAGGCAACGAUGCGUAGCCGACCUGAGAGGGUGAUCGGCCACACUGGAACUGAGACACGGUCCAGACUCCUACGGGAGGCAGCAGUAGGGAAUCUUCCGCAAUGGGCGAAAGCCUGACGGAGCAACGCCGCGUGAGUGAUGAAGGUCUUCGGAUCGUAAAACUCUGUUAUUAGGGAAGAACAAAUGUGUAAGUAACUAUGCACGUCUUGACGGUACCUAAUCAGAAAGCCACGGCUAACUACGUG
rnacentral:rRNA from 1 species